UUUGAUGUUUUGGAAACAAUAGACCUUGAACGUCUACUAAUGAUGUUCGAAUCA
rnacentral:tRNA from 2 species